rnacentral:rRNA from 1 species
UACAGAGGGGGCAAGCGUUGUUCGGAAUUACUGGGCGUAAAGGGCGCGUAGGCGGCCUGCUAAGUCGAACGUGAAAUCCCUGGGCUCAACCCAGGAACUGCGUCCGAUACUGGUUGGCUUGAAUCCGGGAGAGGGAUGUGGAAUUCCAGGUGUAGCGGUGAAAUGCGUAGAGUAUCGAGGAGGAACACCGAUGGCGAAGGCAGGUCUCUGGGCGAUUGAACUGACGCUGAGGAGCGAAAGCAUGGGGAGCGAACAG